rnacentral:rRNA from 1 species
AGUGAUUCUGGUUGAUCCUGCCAGAGGCCACUGCUAUCGGAGUUCGAUUAAGCCAUGCGAGUCGAGAGGGGUAAGCCCUCGGCGUACUGCUCAGUAACACGUGGAUAACCUGCCCUGCGGUGGGAAAUAACCCCGGGAAACUGGGGAUAAUGUCCCAUAGGCUACGGAUACUGGAAUGUUCUGUAGUUGAAAGAUUUAUCGCCGCAGGAUGGGUCUGCGCCCGAUUAGGUUGUUGUUGGGGUAACGGCCCAACAAGCCCUUGAUCGGUACGGGUUGUGGGAGCAAGAGCCCGGAGAUGGAUUCUGAGACACGAAUCCAGGCCCUACGGGGCGCAGCAGGCGCGAAAACUUUACCAUGCGGGCAACCGUGAUAAGGAAACCCCGAGUGCCAGCACAGGCUGGCUGUCCGCCAGUUUAAAUAACUGGUGAAGAAAGGGCCGGGCAAGACCGGUGCCAGCCGCCGCGGUAAUACCGGCGGCUCGAGUGGUGGCCGCUAUUACUGGGCUUAAAGGGUCCGUAGCUUGAUAACUGGGUCCCUUGAGAAAUCCGCCAGCUUAACUGGCGGGCGUUCAGGGGAAACUUGUUUUCUAGGGACCGGGAGAGGUGAGGGGUACUGCCGGGGUAGGAGUGAAAUCCUGUAAUCCCGGUGGGACCACCUAUGGCGAAGGCAUCUCACCAGAACGGGUCCGACAGUGAGGGACGAAAGCUGGGGGAGCAAACCGGAUUAGAUACCCGGGUAGUCCCAGCUGUAAACGAUGCGCGUUAGGUGUGUCAGUGACCACGUGUCACUGAGGUGCCGAAGGGAAACCGUGAAACGCACCGCCUGGGGAGUACGGUCGCAAGGCUGAAACUUAAAGGAAUUGGCGGGGGAGCACUACAAGGGGUGGAGGCUGCGGUUUAAUUGGAUUCAACGCCGGGAAACUCACUGGGAGCGACAGCAGAAUGACAGCCAGGCUAACGACCUUGCCAGACAAGCUGAGAGGAGGUGCAUGGCCGCCGUCAGUUCGUACCGUGAGGCGUACUCUUAAGUGAGUCAACGAACGAGACCCUCACCUGCAGUUGCCAGCUUGCCCUCCGGGGCGAUGGGGACUCUGCAGGGACCGCUGGUGCUAAACCAAAGGAAGGAGGGGGCAACGGUAGGUCAGUAUGCCCCGAAUCUCCCAGGCUACACGCGGCCUACAAUGAGCGAGACAAUGAGUCCUGACGCCGAAAGGCGUAAGUAAUCUCCUAAACUCGCCCGAAGUUCGGAUUGAGGGUUGCAACUCACCCUCAUGAAGCUGGAAUCCCUAGUAAUCGCGUGUCAUCAUCGCGCGGUGAAUACGUCCCUGCUCCUUGCACACACCGCCCGUCAAUCCACCUUAGUGAGGUUUAGGUGAGGCUUUGCCCCUAGGGUAGAGUCAAACCUAGGUUUCGCGAGGGGGGAUAAGUCGUAACAAGGUAACCGUAGGGGAACCUGCGGUUAGAUCACCUCCU